UAAGGUUUCCAGGGUAAAGCUGAUCUGCCCUGGGUAAGUCGGGGCCUAAGGCAAGGCUGAGAAGCGUAGCUGAUGGACAACAGGUUUAGAUUCCUGUACCACAUGGUAUCAGAACUGUGGGGACGCAGAGGGAUAAGAUGACCGGGGGACAGAUUCCCGGGCAAGCGCAGGAGGUGUCAGGCAGGCAAAUCCGUCUGACAAGCCAAAGGCGUGACGCGGACCGAACUAAAGUAGGGAAGCAUCCGAUUCCAGCUGCCGAGAAAAGCCGCUAUUGUGUAUCAUGUGCCCGUACCGUAAACCGACACAGGUGGAUGAGGAGAGAAUCCUAAGGCCGGCGGGAGAAGCAUUGUUAAGGAACUCGGCAAAAUGACCCCGUAACUUCGGGAUAAGGGGUGCCAGAGAGAUCUGGCCGCAGAGAAUAGGCUCAAGCAACUGUUUAGCAAAAACACAGGUCUAUGCGAAACCGUAAGGUGAUGUAUAUGGGCUGACGCCUGCCCGGUGCUGGAAGGUUAAGAGGAGAGGUUAGAGCAAUCGAAGCUUUGAAUUGAAGCCCCAGUAAACGGCGGCCGUAACAAUAACGGUCCUAAGGUAGCGAAAUUCCUUGUCGGGUAAGUUCCGACCCGCACGAAAGGCGUAAUGAUUUGAGCGCUGUCUCGACAAUGCACCCGGUGAAAUUGAAAUACCAGUGAAGAUGCUGGUUACCUGCGCCAGGACGGAAAGACCCCACGGAGCUUUACUCCAGCUUGAUACUGGGAUUCGGUAAUGCAUGCACAGGAUAGGUGGGAGGCUAUGAGUACGGAACUCCGGUUUCGUAUGAGCCGCUGUUGGGAUACCACCCUUGCGUUACUGGGUUUCUAACCAUGGUCCAUGAUCUGGAUCGGGGACAAUGUCAGGUGGGGAGUUUGACUGGGGCGGUCGCCUCCGAAAGGGUAUCGGAGGCGCUCAAAGGUUCCCUCAGAAUGGUUGGAAACCAUUCGAAGAGUGCAAAGGCAGAAGGGAGCUUGACUGCGAGACCGACGGGUCGAGCAGGUAGGAAACUAGGACUUAGUGAUCCGGUGGUAUGAAAGUGGAUUGCCAUCGCUCAACGGAUAAAAGCUACCCUGGGAUAACAGGCUUAUCACUCCCAAGAGUUCACAUCGACGGAGUGGUUUGGCACCUCGAUGUCGGCUCAUCGCAUCCUGGGGCUGAAGUAGGUCCCAAGGGUUGGGCUGUUCGCCCAUUAAAGCGGUACGCGAGCUGGGUUCAGAACGUCGUGAGACAGUUCGGUCCCUAUCCGGCGCAGGCGGAGGAUAUUUGAGAGGAGCUGUCCUUAGUACGAGAGGACCGGGAUGGACGGACCGCUGGUGUACCGGUUGAGCUGCUAAGCUCAUGGCCGGGUAGCCAAGUCUGGCAGGGAUAAACGCUGAAGGCAUCUAAGCGUGAAGCCCCCCUCAAGAUGAGAUAUCCCAUUCGAAAGAAGUAAGACCCCUUGAAGACGACGAGGUAGAUAGGGCAGAGGUGGAAGUGCAGUAAUGUACGGAGCUGACUGUUACUAAUCGGUCGAGGGCUUAUCAAA
rnacentral:rRNA from 1 species